AUCCGAAAUAUGGUUGGUUUUAGGAUUAUUCUAGAGGAGUACUGCUCUACAUCGAGCUAGAAGAUGAAUCUUCUCGAAUCCCUUUUAUACUUUAGCCCAAGGACACUAGCUCAGAUGCGGCACAUAGUUAGGGAUAUACCUGGCAUUGUAGAGCAUAGUGGGGCACUACAAUACCUGGGAGUCCUCAUGACUGGCAGAAGGCUGAGGAGGGCUG
rnacentral:lncRNA from 1 species